rnacentral:tRNA from 1 species
GCUUUUGUGGUGCAGUGGUCAGCACGCUCGGCACGCAUUCGAGAGGUCCGUGGUUCGAGUCCCGCCAAGGGUU